UGGCUCAGAUUGAACGCUGCGGCAAGGCCUAACACAUGCAAGUCGAGCGGAUGACGGGAGCUUGCUCCUUGAUUCAGCGGCGGACGGGUGAGUAAUGCCUAGGAAUCUGCCUGGUAGUGGGGGACAACGUUUCGAAAGGAACGCUAAUACCGCAUACGUCCUACGGGAGAAAGCAGGGGACCUUCGGGCCUUGCGCUAUCAGAUGAGCCUAGGUCGGAUUAGCUAGUUGGUGGGGUAAUGGCUCACCAAGGCGACGAUCCGUAACUGGUCUGAGAGGAUGAUCAGUCACACUGGAACUGAGACACGGUCCAGACUCCUACGGGAGGCAGCAGUGGGGAAUAUUGGACAAUGGGCGAAAGCCUGAUCCAGCCAUGCCGCGUGUGUGAAGAAGGUCUUCGGAUUGUAAAGCACUUUAAGUUGGGAGGAAGGGCAGUAAGUUAAUACCUUGCUGUUUUGACGUUACCGACAGAAUAAGCACCGGCUAACUCUGUGCCAGCAGCCGCGGUAAUACAGAGGGUGCAAGCGUUAAUCGGAAUUACUGGGCGUAAAGCGCGCGUAGGUGGUUUGUUAAGUUGGAUGUGAAAGCCCCGGGCUCAACCUGGGAACUGCAUCCAAAACUGGCAAGCUAGAGUACGGUAGAGGGUGGUGGAAUUUCCUGUGUAGCGGUGAAAUGCGUAGAUAUAGGAAGGAACACCAGUGGCGAAGGCGACCACCUGGACUGAUACUGACACUGAGGUGCGAAAGCGUGGGGAGCAAACAGGAGUAGAUACCCUGGUAGUCCACGCCGUAAACGAUGUCAACAUGGGCCGUUGGAAUCCUUGAGAUUUUAGUGGCGCAGCUAACGCAUUAAGUGACCGCUCUG
rnacentral:rRNA from 1 species